rnacentral:lncRNA from 1 species
AUGUGCUCCAUCAUCACCGUGUCCCUGCAGAGCACCGAGGGGACAGACCCCUCCCCUUGGGGGUCCCGGGAGAAGCGAGCCCCUGGCGCGGUGCCUCUCCUUCGGAGCCUGCGGAUGGGCGAGGACUUUCUCCGGAGCCGUAAAACCCGAAAUAGCUCCUUGUUGUUUUUUUCCCCGGGAUCCCAAACAAAGCGGAACGCUGCGCUGCCGGCCUUGGCCGCUCGCCCGCGGCUGCCGGAUUUCUGGAGCCCGCCAGGAUCCCUCCUGUCCCGUAAGCAGGAAGAUGGAAACAGGCAACUCCUUCGGAAGCGCUUUGGAGACGGCGGCUGCGGUGCUGCAACCAUCGGGGGGCUCUGGGUGGGGGGGUCAUCCUGCAGGGCCAGACCUGGGAAGCACGAGGUGCUGCACGGGAAGGGGCUUUGGGUCUCGCAACCAGAAAACUGGAGGGGAGAAACCUCAGUGAGCAGCCGUCCUACGGGCAGGGAAGGGUUUCUCGGUCUCCUUCAUCGUCCUUGCUUCGAGCAGCGCCGUGGCACGUCCUGGCUCUCUGCCCCAAGGACGGAGCCGGGUUACGGGGGUGACGGCGGAGGCUGCUCUGCUUGGGGACGGGCGCAGUGGGUGGCAUCGCCCUGCGGGUCCCGCAGCUCCGGCCUCAGCCCGGCUCCGGGUUUGCAAACAUUUGCUCGACAACGGCCGCUGCGUUUCCUGCUCCGCGGGGCGUCACGAGGCACGGGGAAAGUUUGCAGAGUGAGUAAGCGGCGGCGGCCCCGCGUCGGUGACAGCGGGCAGGCUGCGGACGUGGGCAGGGAGCGCUGCUGCGCUCCUGAGCCCCUUUGCUUCCGUCCGUUCCUGAGCCUCUUGCAAAGGGCUGCCGUGAGCCCAGGGAGGAGGAAGAGGAGGAGGAGGAGGAGGAAGAGGAAGAGGAAGGCUUUGGGGUUUGGAAAGGGCUGGAGGAGAUGGAGAAGCCUGAGCCACGCAGAGCACCCGGCGGUGGGUGCCCGCUUCCAGCACCCAUCUGCACCCGGCGGUGCCGGGGUGCCCUCAGCUCCCUGCAAAGCUGUUUUAUUUUGCAUCAAAUCCAUUUGUAGAAGAGGAUUCUGCAGCUCCUCCGCCUUGGAUUCCUGCACGGAGGCUUUCACCUGCUCUGUGCCUCUCAGUGGGGUUGCUCAAACCAUCUCCACCAGCCCGGAUCCACGGAAGAUCUGGCCCCGCAGACGCUGA